AGUGAACGCUGGCGGUAGGCCUAACACAUGCAAGUCGAACGGCAGCACAGUAAGAGCUUGCUCUUACGGGUGGCGAGUGGCGGACGGGUGAGGAAUACAUCGGAAUCUGCUUUUUCGUGGGGGAUAACGUAGGGAAACUUACGCUAAUACCGCAUACGACCUACGGGUGAAAGCAGGGGAUCUUCGGACCUUGCGCGAUUGAAUGAGCCGAUGUCGGAUUAGCUAGUUGGCGGGGUAAAGGCCCACCAAGGCGACGAUCCGUAGCUGGUCUGAGAGGAUGAUCAGCCACACUGGAACUGAGACACGGUCCAGACUCCUACGGGAGGCAGCAGUGGGGAAUAUUGGACAAUGGGCGCAAGCCUGAUCCAGCCAUACCGCGUGGGUGAAGAAGGCCUUCGGGUUGUAAAGCCCUUUUGUUGGGAAAGAGAAGCAGCAGGUUAAUACCCCGCUGUUCUGACGGUACCCAAAGAAUAAGCACCGGCUAACUUCGUG
rnacentral:rRNA from 1 species